rnacentral:lncRNA from 1 species
AGAAAGAUCAUGCUAGCUAGGUACGGGGCCUAUUGCCUACUUGGACAAGAAGUAUGAACUACUCGGAAUUGGAGACACCAGGAGCACUAAAUAAACCCGAGGUGGAGGAUGCAGCGCAGAUCCACCAAAAGGAACUGAUUAUGUCGAGAAGAAAUUCAGUUCCUUGUAGCAUCAUCAGUUUGUGGCAAAAAGCCACAAAGGGCCAAGCAGAGGCUUAUGACGAAAUUAUGGUAAGAAGAGGAUC